rnacentral:rRNA from 1 species
CUGCUGCCUCCCGUAGGAGUCUGGUCCGUGUCUCAGUACCAGUGUGGGGGACCUUCCUCUCAGAACCCCUAGACAUCGUCGCCUUGGUGGGCCGUUACCCCGCCAACAAGCUAAUGUCACGCAUGCCCAUCCGUCUCCGGAGUUGCCUCCUUUGGCCGAAAGAAGAUGCCUCCCCUCGGCCACAUGCGGUAUUAGGCCGGAUUUCUCCGGGUUAUCCCGCUGAAACCGGGCAGGUUGCAUACGCGUUACUCACCCGUGCGCCGGUCGCCGG